AGCGAACGCUGGCGGCAUGCCUAACACAUGCAAGUCGCACGGUCGGGGGCAACCCUGGCAGUGGCGGACGGGUGAAGAACGCGUAGGGAUCUAUCCACGGGUGGGGGACGACCGCGGGAAACUGCGGCUAAUACCGCAUGACGAGCGUGCUCGGGAGAGUGCGUUCCAAAGUUCGCAAGAGCGCCUGUGGCGGAGCCUGC
rnacentral:rRNA from 1 species